CCGCUCCGCUCGCGCCGGGCCGGGCAGGGCAGGGCGGGACCCGCCGCACCCGGCACCGCACCGGGCAUUGGGCACCGGGCAUUGGGCACCGCGCACACCGCUCCACACACCGCACCGGGCAUUGGGCACCGCGCACACCGCUCCACACACCGCACCGGGCACUGGGCACCGCGCACACCGCUCCACACACCGCACCGGGCACUGGGCACCGCGCACACCGCUCCACACACCGCACCGGGCAUUGGGCACCGCGCAUUGGGCACCGCGCACACCGCUCCACACACCGCACCGGGCACUGGGCACCGCGCACACCGCUCCACACACCGCACCGGGCACUGGGCACCGCGCACACCGCUCCACACACAGCACCGGGCAUUGGGCACCGCGCACACCGCUCCACACACAGCACCGGGCAUUGGGCACCGGGCACCGCACACACCACACGCAGCGCCGGGCACCGCACCAGGCACCGCACCGCGCUGGGUCACUUCUGUCCCGCCCCCAGCGUGUCCCGCUCCGCGCUCAGGAAUGCCACAGUAAGAGAAAGACAUGAAGUAUCUUUAAAGGAAUUCUGCUUUUGAUCAAGCUGCUAAAAAUGGAUAUGAACACUAUUUUCUCCUUUGAGUUUUUGAUAAAUGGACAUUGACAUGGACUACGAAAGACCCAACGUUGAAACUAUCAAGUGUGUGGUGGUUGGAGAUAAUGCAGUGGGAAAGACUCGUCUGAUCUGUGCAAGAGCCUGCAACACAACCUUGACUCAGUAUCAGCUGCUGGCAACUCACGUCCCAACUGUCUGGGCCAUCGAUCAGUACCGUGUCUGCCAAGAGGUCCUCGAACGCUCAAGAGAUGUUGUGGAUGAAGUGAGUGUUUCUCUCAGGCUGUGGGAUACAUUUGGGGACCACCACAAAGACAGGCGCUUUGCUUACGGAAGGUCUGAUGUGGUUGUUCUGUGCUUUUCCAUUGCUAAUCCUAAUUCCCUGAAUCAUGUGAAAACAAUGUGGUAUCAAGAAAUCAAGCACUUCUGUCCCCGCACACCUGUCAUUCUGGUGGGCUGCCAGCUCGAUCUCCGCUAUGCAGACCUGGAGGCUGUGAACAGAGCCAGACGGCCUCUGGCAAGGCCGAUAAAAAGGGGAGACAUUUUGCCCCCAGAAAGAGGCAGAGAGGUUGCCAAGGAACUCGGGAUACCAUACUAUGAAACCAGUGUAUUUGAUCAGUUUGGGAUUAAAGAUGUCUUCGACAAUGCAAUUAGAGCUGCCCUGAUCUCCAGAAGACACUUGCAGUUCUGGAAAUCUCAUUUGAAGAAGGUCCAAAAACCUUUGCUUCAGGCUCCAUUCCUACCUCCAAAAGCCCCUCCUCCGGUUAUCAGAAUUCCUGAGUGUCCUGUGCCGAGCAUGAAUGAAGCUGGAUAUUUAUUGGACAGCCCACUGUGUGCAGAUGUCAUGUUUGUUCUCCAGGAGCAGGACUGCAUUUUUGCUCACAAGAUUUACCUAGCUACCUCCUCUUCAAAGUUUUAUGACCUUUUCUUAAUGGAAUGUGAGGAAAGUCCAGACUUGGAUGAAACACAGUGUAAUAAAGAAAAUACAAGUAAGGAUGUUCAGACAAGUCACCCUGAGACAAAUAGUGACAGUGAUGAGAAUUCCUUGAAAACUGCUGAUGUUAAAAUUCCCCCACCAGAAAGCAGUGACUCUUUAAACAUGCUAGAACCCGAAUCUGGUGAAACAAACCCUGCAGCGAGAUCUCUGUCGUCCUGGGGUAAGGGAUUUGUUAGUGUGCACAAGGAAAUGCAGGUGAAUCCUGUCUCCAAUCGGACAUGUCCUGUAACUGUGGUAAAAAUGGAUUCAUCUGUGCAGGCUGGACCUUUUAAAACUGUUUUGCAGUUUUUAUACACAGGCCAACUGGAUGAAAAUGAGAAAGACCUCACAAGACUCGCUCAGAUUGCUGAAAUCUUAGAAGUAUUUGAUUUGCGGAUGAUGGUGGAGAAUAUUAUGAAUAAAGAAGCCUUCAUGAAUCAAGAGAUUACUAAAGCAUUUCAUGUCAGAAAAGCUAAUCGGAUAAAAGAGUGCCUUUGCAAAGGGACAUUUUCUGAUGUGACAUUUAAAUUGGACGAUGGAAGCAUAAAGGCCCACAAGCCACUGCUCAUCUGUAGCUGUGAAUGGAUGUCUGCUAUGUUUGGAGGAUCAUUUAUUGAAAGCUCCAACAGUGAGGUAGUUCUUCCCAACAUAAACAAGGCUUCCAUGCAAGCGGUUUUAGAUUACUUGUAUACCAAGCAACUGUCCUCCAGUCAGGAACUGGACACACUUGAGUUAAUUGCAUUGGCAAAUAGGUUUUGCCUUCCUCACCUGAUUGCUCUUGCAGAACAGCAUGCAGUACAAGAGCUGACAAAAGCCUCCAUGAGCGGCGUUCCAAUAGAUGGGGAAGUGCUCUCCUAUUUGGAAUUGGCACAGUUUCACAAUGCUAACCAGCUGGCAGCUUGGUGCUUGCACUACAUCUGCACCAACUACAACAGCGUUUGCUCCAAAUUCCGCAAGGAAAUCAAAGCUAAAUCUGCAGAUAAUCAAGAAUAUUUUGAGAGGCAUCGGUGGCCGCCUGUGUGGUAUUUAAAGGAAGAAGAUCACUACCAGAGGGUGAAAAAGGAAAGAGAAAAGGAAGAUGUUGCACUGAACAAACAUCAUUCGAAGCGGAAGUGGUGCUUCUGGAAUUCCUCUGCUGUAGUUGCCUGAACAAAGCAAAUAAGUGGAAAUCCAUAGCCAGAAAUUGUUCUUAUUUGUUAGAAAUAAGAUGUAGUUCAGGUUUUCAGGAAACUGUGUUCCAAGUGUGCAUUUAUUACUGCUAGGGUCAAAAGCACAAGCUCACUGAAAGUGAGCCUGGAACAGCUCGAAGUCAUAUGUACAUUUUUGACUGAUAAGCAGAUAAAUGUCGACCACUAUUACAUUUCUUUUUAUACAAAAAAAACCAAAUCCAGCAUUAAUGUUUCAGUCUCCAGUUGGGAAAUAUUUUUAUACUGUCUGGUGUAUUUUGUUCAGAUAAAAUUCUGGAUACUGUUUUAUUUUACAGACCACAAAAUAACCAUGUAGCAGCUUUGUAAUUAGAUUUUAACUAUUUUUACUAUGCGAGCACAGUGAAAUAGACAAUCUUCAGUCAUAAGAGACUGCUUUUAGAGUAUCUCAUAAAAAGUCAUCUUAGGAAAAAAAAUCUAGUUGCCUACUAUGGGUUGUCUUUUUUAAACUAAGUACUGUGCACUGUUAAUAUAAUUAGAUGGUUAUUUCCCUUUCUAAAGUAAAGGGUUAGAAUAAGAUCCAAUAACUGCAAGAUAUAGAGUGCUUGAUCUUUGCUCAGCUGAAUAAUAGGCAGUAUAAUUACCUGUUCAACUGCAGGCAAAUAUAUUUCUAAUAUUUGCCAUGUAAGUGCAAAUAAUUAUGACUAUGUGGGCCAUGUGAAAUCUAGUGAUUCUAAGUAUUCAGAGGUUUUAUAUGUCUAGAUCAAAGAGGAUAUUUCUAAAAUCAUUUAGAAGGGCUUAUUAAUUUAUAUCCUUAUACAAGUAUGGAUCUGAAUGCAAAAAGCAGUCACACUGCUUGCAUUUGAAUUACUGCAUGGCAGUUACCUUGUUCUGUAGGAUCUUAAAACCAUGCAGCCAUUUCUCAUCCUGAAUUCCUUUUUGAUUCAGUGCAAGCAAAUAAAGGGCUGCAAAACCAAGUAGAUGUCACCUAGUGUUACAGCAUUUUGUAAGUGAAGAAGGGUCUUCACUUACAAGAUUACUUCAGUUUGAUCCAAACUAUUUUAUAGCUUUUCCCAGUUAGAACUCAGAAUUUUAGGUUAUUUUUAGGUAGAUGAUGUAUUUCCCCUGGAAGCAGAUUCCCAGAACUCUGGGGGGAAAACUGAUGGCAGAAGGGCAGGAAUUCUGCACAACUGGUGCAAAAAAUGAAAAAGCUUCCAGUGUUUUCAAAUAGCCUGUGUGUUUAUGACUUUUUAUCAACCAUUACUCUAAAGCUGCAGUGUUACACUAGAUUAUGUAAGGAUGAGAGCAUUUCUUUAAAAGACCAAAACUGAAAUACAUAGACUGUAGAACAUACACAUGCAAUCCUGUGCAGUGUCUCAGGCACAACUCUGUAACCAAGGUAGUAUUGUGUGUUAGGUUCAGUAAUACUGUUUUGUGCUGGCAGCUCAGCACACCAAUGUGAAAAGCUGUUUGUUUGUUUGUUUAUUUGUGGUUUUUUUCUGUAUCCAAAGGCAAGGCAGUACAGUCACACCCCAGCACUGUAGGUCAGGAAAGGCUUUGGCCUGAAAGCCAUAUACACCUCGAUGUAUUUGCGUUCUGAACGGACUGAUUCUUGGCAGACGCUACCACAGGAUGGUAGAAGCCACCCAGCACGGAAAGAGAUGCUGCUCUACAAACUUCUGUAAGGAAAGCCAAGUGAGGGAUUCCUACCCCUUUAGGAUUCAUCACUGUAUGGUGAUAAAGAAGGGCUAAAAAUGAUGGUUGCAAAUAUGUCUCCUUAAUUCUCAGUCAGUGACAAUGUGUAGUGUGGAGGAGAACAUGGAAUGAGAGAAGACGUGUCAAGACUAAGAUGAGAUCAAUAGCUGUUGUCAUAAAAUGUUAACCAGUCACAUUUUAAACAGAAUUUCUGUGAGCAAGUUUCUCUGCAGCACAACACGAACCAGCUUCUGUGGCUUCCUACCCACAAAUAGCACACCAGAGCCAGGAAUAGAAUUGUUUUGCGAGUAAGAUGGGAUUGGCCAGACUGCAGCCACAACUCACUAAUUUCAUUCCCUGAAGACCCACUCAUCCCAGUCUUUUAGUCAGAGCAGGCCUCCCAGUGUGCAGAGAUCACAGUCUUUAUACUGUUGUCACUGGAUAGACCAGCAUUUAUUUAUUCUGGAUUGGAAUCCAAAGUAUGUACUAUGCAGUGAGAUGUCUUUAAGGUGUCUGCUUGCCACUCCUGAAACCCCUUAGAUUUCUGGUCUAUUAAAAUGAUCUAACAGCAUUUGCAUGAGCUUA